CUUCUUCCUUCAGUUUCCCCACUGCAUUUGGUAUGUACCUUUGUACCUGAGUACACACAGCCUCUAUGUAGAAAUAGCAGUGGUUUCCCAGAAAUCAAUCUGACGAACUCAUUAGCCACCAAUCACCUACAGAAAACACUUGAUUUCACCACUUCAGCCAGGAAGGAGCUCGGGCGGCCACGUGGCUGAAGGAUUCGGGGAGCUCAUGGUGCGGGCAGGCAGAUAAGGAAUUUGUAAGCAAGUGGCCACAGUUCUCACAGUAGUAGAAUUACAAUGUGCACCAAGCGUGUCCCAGCCGCUCACCUGUCAUUCCAUGUGGCCCUGCUGCCUUGAUUCCAUCCCACCUCACUCUGAGAUAAACGCUGGUGACUCUUCAGACCCUUUUCUAGAUGUUUGUGUUUCCACGA
ensembl:lncRNA